rnacentral:misc_RNA from 1 species
UUAACCGCAGCGCCUUUU